AUCUGUGUAAUAUAAUGCUGACCAUAGCAAAUAGUAAAAUGUACAGAUUUUCAUAAGUAAUAUAAAUCUUACUCUUGCAAUGUUCAGAUGUUGAAUAUGGACUAAGAAGAGAUGGUGAAUGAUAUCCAUUUGGAACUGUAUUCUGAGCGUGCAAUUGGAGGAGGCAUUGACUCUUCUGAGCGUUUGACAGACCCUCUCGAAUCCAUCUGGACAGAUAUGAAUAACUUUGACUUGAACCCACCAUUCAGGUUUGAAUGGCCUGAUGUCAGACAGGUUGCAGGGAAUCUUAUUGAAGAAAUAUAAAAGCGGAAUAUCAAUACAAUUUUGACAUGCGACAUGUUACAAUCCAAAAUUAAGGUAUGUCCGGUUUAUUAUAAGGAUAAA